rnacentral:rRNA from 1 species
UACGAAGGUGGCAAGCGUUGUUCGGAUUUACUGGGCGUACAGGGAGCGUAGGCGGUUGGAUAAGCCCUCCGUGAAAUCCCCAGGCUCAACCUGGGAACUGCAUUCGAGACUGCAUUGCUAGAGUAUGGGAGAGGGAAGUGGAAUUUCCGGUGUAGCGGUGAAAUGCGUAGAUAUCUGGAGGAACACCGGUGGCGAAGGCGGCAUCCUGGACCGACACUGAGCACUGAGGAGCGAAAGCCAGGGGA